rnacentral:rRNA from 1 species
AACGUAGGGGGCAAGCGUUGCCCGGAUUCACUGGGCGUAAAGCGGGUGUAGGCGGUUCCUUAAGUCAGAUGUGAAAUCCUGCGGCUCAACCGCGGAACUGCAUCUGAUACUGGGGAACUUGAGGACGGUAGAGGUCGGUGGAAUACCCUGUGUACCGGUGAAAUGGGCAGAUAUAGGGUGGAACACCAGUGGCGAAGGCGGCCGACUGGGCCGAUCCUGACGCUGAGACCCGAAAGCCAGGGUAGCGAACCGG